CUACGGGUGGCAGCAGUCGGGGAUAUUGCACAAUGGAGGAAACUCUGAUGCAGCGACGCCGCGUGAACGAAGAAGGCCUUCGGGUCGUAAAGUUCUGAUGUGAGAGAAGAAGAUAGUGACGGUAUCUCACCAGCAAGCACCGGCUAACUACGUGCCAGCAGCCGUGGUAAUACGUAGGGUGCAAGCGUUGUCCGGAAUUACUGGGCGUAAAGGGAGCGUAGGUGGUUAUAUAAGUCUUUAGUAAAAGGCAUUGGCUCAACCAAUGUAGGCUAGAGAAACUAUAUAACUUGAGUACAGUAGAGGUAAGUGGAAUUCCUAGUGUAGCGGUGAAAUGCGUAGAUAUUAGGAGGAACACCAGUGGCGAAGGCGACUUACUGGGCUGUAACUGACACUGAGGCUCGAAAGCGUGGGGAGCAAACAGGAUUAGAUACCCUGGUAGUC
rnacentral:rRNA from 1 species